UAUUGACUCCCCAGAUGAACACACAGGU
rnacentral:piRNA from 1 species